GUGUAGCGUACCUACUAGCCUACGACGGGUACGGGUUGUGAGAGCAAGAGCCCGGAGAUGGAUUCUGAGACACGAAUCCAGGCCCUACGGGGUGCAGCAGGCGCGAAAACUUUACAAUGCUGGCAACAGCGAUAAGGGAACCUCGAGUGCCAGGUUACAAAUCUGGCUGUCGAGAUGCCUAAAAAGCAUUUCAUAGCAAGGGCCGGGCAAGACCGGUGCCAGCCGCCGCGGUAACACCGGCGGCUCGAGUGGUAACCGUUAUUAUUGGGUCUAAAGGGUCUGUAGCCGGCCGGAUAAGUCUCUUGAGAAAUCUGGCAGCUUAACUGUCAGGCUUUCAGGAGAUACUGUCUGGCUCGAGGCCGGGAGAGGUGAGAGGUACUUCAGGGGUAGGGGUGAAAUCUUGUAAUCCUUGAAGGACCACCAGUGGCGAAGGCGUCUCACCAGAACGGACCUGACGGCAAGGGACGAAAGCUAGGGGCACGAACCGGAUUAGAUACCCGGGUAGUCCUAGCCGUAAACGAUACUCGCUAGGUGUCGGCCACGGUGCGACCGUUGUCGGUGCCGUAGGGAAGCCGUGAAGCGAGCC
rnacentral:rRNA from 1 species